GACGAACGCUGGCGGCGUGCUUAACACAUGCAAGUCGAACGGAAAGGCCCUGCUUUUGUGGGGUGCUCGAGUGGCGAACGGGUGGGUAACACGUGAGUAACCUGCCCUUGACUUUGGGAUAACUUCAGGAAACUGGGGCUAAUACCGGAUAGGAGCUCCUGCUGCAUGGUGGGGGUUGGAAAGUUUCGGCGGUUGGGGAUGGACUCGCGGCUUAUCAGCUUGUUGGUGGGGUAGUGGCUUACCAAGGCUUUGACGGGUAGCCGGCCUGAGAGGGUGACCGGCCACAUUGGGACUGAGAUACGGCGCAGACUCCUACGGGAGGCAGCAGUGGGGAAUAUUGCACAAUGGGCGGAAGCCUGAUGCAGCAAUGCCGCGUGCGGGAUGACGGCCUUCGGGUUGUAAACCGCUUUCGCCUGUGACGAAGCGUGAGUGACGGUAAUGGGUAAAGAAGCACCGGCUAACUACGUG
rnacentral:rRNA from 1 species